rnacentral:rRNA from 1 species
UCUGUAGCCGGCCAAGUAAGUCCCUUGGGAAAUCUGGCAGCUCAACUGUCAGGCUGCUAGGGGAUACUGUUUGGCUUGGGACCGGGAGAGGUGAGAGGUACCUGGGGGGUAGGGGUGAAAUCUUGUGAUCCUCGAGGGACCACCAGUGGCGAAGGCGUCUCACCAGAACGGGUCCGACGGUAAGGGACGAAAGCUAGGGGCACGAACAGGAUUAGAUACCCUGGUAGUC